CAGGCCUAACACAUGCAAGUCGAGCGGAUGACGGGAGCUUGCUCCCGGAUUCAGCGGCGGACGGGUGAGUAAUGCCUAGGAAUCUGCCUGGUAGUGGGGGACAACGUUUCGAAAGGAACGCUAAUACCGCAUACGUCCUACGGGAGAAAGCAGGGGACCUUCGGGCCUUGCGCUAUCAGAUGAGCCUAGGUCGGAUUCGCUAGUUGGUGGGGUAAUGGCUCACCAAGGCGACGAUCCGUAACUGGUCUGAGAGGAUGAUCAGUCACACUGGAACUGAGACACGGUCCAGUCUCCUACGGGAGGCAGCAGUGGGGAAUAUUGGACAAUGGGCGAAAGCCUGAUCCAGCCAUGCCGCGUGUGUGAAGAAGGUCUUCGGAUUGUAAAGCACUUUAAGUUGGGAGGAAGGGCAGCUGGCUAAUACCUUGCUGCUUUGACGUUACCGACAGAAUAAGCACCGGCUAACUUUGUGCCAGCAGCCGCGGUAAU
rnacentral:rRNA from 1 species